AGUGGAUGGGGAGCAACCUGGUUGUGCGUGUGUAAAGGUAGUGCCAAGAAAAGCGAUGAUCAUGUUGAAAAUCAAUUCCCGGUACCCGAAACCGACCAGGUGGGCAAGUAGAGAAUACUAAGGGGCGCGAGGUAACUCUCUCCAAGGAACUCGGCAAAAUGACCCCGUAACUUAGGGAGAAGGGGUGCCACCGAGAGGUGGCCGCAGUGAAGAGGCCCAGGCGACUGUUUAGCAAAAACAUAGGUCUCUGCAAACUCGAAAGAGGAGGUAUAGGGGCUGACGCCUGCCCAGUGCCGGAAGGUUAAAGAAGUUGGUCAGUUUUAGGAUGAAGCUAGCGACUGAAGCCCCGGUGUACGGCGGCCGUAACUAUACGGUCCUAAGGUAGCGAAAUUCCUUGUCGGGUAAGUUCCGACCCGCACGAAAGGCGUAACGAUCUGGGCGCUGUCUCGGAGAGAGGCUCGGCGAAAUAGGAUUGUCUGUGAAGAUACGGACUACCUGCAUUUGGACAGAAAGACCCUAUGAAGCUUUACUAUAGCUUGGAAUUGUGUUCGGGCUUCCUGUGCGCAGGAUAGGUGGGAGGCGUAGAAGGUAUUCUUGUGGGGAUACUGGAGCCAACGGUGAGAUACCACUCUCAGGAGGCUAGAAUUCUAACUUAAUUAAGGACAGUUUCAGGUGGGUAGUUUGACUGGGGCGGUCGCCUCCAAAAAGGUAACGGAGGCGUACAAAGGUUCCCUCAGACUGGUUGGAAAUCAGUCGAAGAGUGCAAAGGCAGAAGGGAGCUUGACUGCGAGAAGUACAGUUCGAGCAGGGUGGAAACACGGUCUUAGUGAUCCGACGGUGCUGUGUGGAAGGGCCGUCGCUCAACGGAUAAAAGUUACUCUAGGAUAACAGGCUGAUCUCCCCCAAGAGUUCACAUCGACGGGGAGGUUUGGCACCUCGAUGUCGGCUCAUCGCAACCUGGGGCGGAAGUACGUCCCAAGGGUUGGGCUGUUCGCCCAUUAAAGCGGUACGUGAGCUGGGUUCAGAACGUCGUGAGACAGUUCGGUCCAUAUCCGAUGUAGGCGUGAGAAUAUUGAGAGGAGCCUUCCUUAGUACGAGAGGACCGGGAAGGACGCACCGCUGGUGUACCUGUUAUGAUGCCAAUUGUAAACGCAGGGUAGCCAAGUGCGGAGAGGAUAACCGCUGAAAGCAUCUAAGUGGGAAGCCCACCUCAAGAUGAGUAUUCUGGUGUAAGGUCACGGGAAGACGACCCGUAAAUAGGCACGAGGUGGAAGUGCAGAGAUGUAUGAAGCCGAAGUGUACUAAUAGACCGUCGGCUUGACC
rnacentral:rRNA from 1 species